CUUGCCUCACCUUUAUUCUUCCUUCCCUUCAUUCACUCCAGCUUCAAGAGCCUCUAAUUAGCCGUGUGACUUAAUUACUCCAGCUCGAUCUUCUUCUGCUUGUGGUUCUCCCACUGCUUAGGACUCAACAGUGGCUGCACCUUCUCAAGAGGCUAUCCACAGAAACAAAACUCACUAUCUUACAGAGAUAUUUUUGAUGACUAGUGAAUCAGAUCUCUCAGCACUUUGAAGACUAGGGCUGUGCUGGACCUGUGAGACAGAAGGAGCACUGACCCCUCAGGCAUCAUGUGGAGGAGCUGACUGGUCAUGAACUUUCACUAUGGACUAUUUAGGGUGUCUGAGAAGCAGAACGACGCCAUCAAACCCAAACUCCAAACAACUUGGAAGUAUUGAGUGAAGGCAGAGACCCCGAAGCCACACAUAGAAUGCUUUACAAGCCUGUAAUUGUCCUCAAGGACAACGUGAGCAGAAAGGAGACAGAACUUCACUUAAGCUGAAUGAAAUUCCAUUGGUACAAGCUUCACAUUUCAUCAUCUAAUCACCUCUUAACACCACCUGGGAUGCUUCCAUUUCCUCACCAUUGGAAAAGAAUGGCAACAAACAUGGAG
ensembl:lincRNA Gm20618 predicted gene 20618